AACGUAGGAGACAAACGUUAUCCGGAGUUACUGGGCGUAAAGGGCGUGUAGGUGGUUGCGUAAGUCUGGCGUGAAAUUUUUCGGCUUAACCGGGAAAGGUCGUCGGAUACUGCGUAACUAGAGGACGGUAGAGGCGUGUGGAAUUCCGGGUGUAGUGGUGAAAUGCGUAGAGAUCCGGAGGAACACCAGUGGCGAAGGCGACACGCUGGGCCGCACCUGACACUGAACCGCGACAGCAUGGGGAGCAAACAGG
rnacentral:rRNA from 1 species